rnacentral:rRNA from 1 species
CGGUCCUAAGGUAGCGAAAUUCCUUGUCGGGUAAGUUCCGACCUGCACGAAUGGCGUAAUGAUGGCCAGGCUGUCUCCACCCGAGACUCAGUGAAAUUGAACUCGCUGUGAAGAUGCAGUGUACCCGCGGCAAGACGGAAAGACCCCGUGAACCUUUACUAUAGCUUGACACUGAACAUUGAGCCUUGAUGUGUAGGAUAGGUGGGAGGCUUUGAAGUGUGGACGCCAGUCUGCAUGGAGCCGACCUUGAAAUACCACCCUUUAAUGUUUGAUGUUCUAACGUUGGCCCCUAAUCGGGGUUGCGGACAGUGUCUGGUGGGUAGUUUGACUGGGGCGGUCGCCUCCUAAAGAGUAACGGAGGAGCACGAAGGUUGGCUAAUCCUGGUCGGACAUCAGGAGGUUAGUGCAAUGGCAUAAGCCAGCUUGACUGCGAGCGUGACGGCGCGAGCAGGUGCGAAAGCAGGUCAUAGUGAUCCGGUGGUUCUGAAUGGAAGGGCCAUCGCUCAACGGAUAAAAGGUACUCCGGGGAUAACAGGCUGAUACCGCCCAAGAGUUCAUAUCGACGGCGGUGUUUGGCACCUCGAUGUCGGCUCAUCACAUCCUGGGGCUGAAGUAGGUCCCAAGGGUAUGGCUGUUCGCCAUUUAAAGUGGUACGCGAGCUGGGUUUAGAACGUCGUGAGACAGUUCGGUCCCUAUCUGCCGUGGGCGCUGGAGAACUGAGGGGGGCUGCUCCUAGUACGAGAGGACCGGAGUGGACGCAUCACUGGUGUUCGGGUUGUCAUGCCAAUGGCACUGCCCGGUAGCUAAAUGCGGAAGAGAUAAGUGCUGAAAGCAUCUAAGCACGAAACUUGCCCCGAGAUGAGUUCUCCCUGAGACUUAGAGUCUCCUGAAGGAACGUUGAAGACGACGACGUUGAUAGGCCGGGUGUGUAAGCGCAGCGAUGCGUUGAGCUAACCGGUACUAAUGAACCGUGAGGCUUAACCUU